rnacentral:lncRNA from 1 species
GUUCAAGGAGUUCUCUAGUUUAUAAUACUCUUCCGAGCAAUUGCAGUUUGUCGUAUUUAAGCUUUUGUUUGGGAAGCGAGAUUGAGAGUUAUUUUAUAUUAAACAUUUGCUCACCAUAUUUCGUGAAAACUUGUGAUCUCCCUCUUAUGUUCGUAGGAAAUUUGUGUCAUUUCCUCCUUCGUGAACCUGUGAAGUAGGUAUUGGGCAGCUGCUAAAUUGAUCAAAAGUUCUCACCUCCAAAAACCAAAACCCUUCAGAGUGGCCUUGCCACCAAGGUCUUGCAACCAGCCAAAAAGGAUUUGAGUUUGAUUAAAACAAGUAUCCAAUGAUUAGUGCUUAUGUAAUUCAACACUUGAAUCUUCGUAUCUAAUUUAUUUUCUUCAAUGAAAUUUCAUACAUGAAUCUGAAACCUCAACUCAUCAGCAAACAGCUAAUGAAUACAAAUAAUCUUCAUACAACACUUGAAAUCUACAUUAAAUUUCUUAAUUGAAAAAGAAAAUAAGACUGCCAAUUUUUUUUUUUAAUUUAUUAUAUGAGUAGAAAUCAAAACCCAACAGCGGACUCUAUAACUCUGUGUUUUCUUCUUCAGAAGAAGGACUGAUCCUUCCAAAUACCUGAAAUAGAAGCCCCCACCACUCAAGAUCUGGAGAACCCAGAAGCUUCAAAAUUUCAAGAAACAAGGCUAAAGCCAGUAUCAAUAAAGCUGAUGCCAUGGAAACCAUUGAAAUUCUGUAAUAACAUCUACCAAUUGUCGCACGCGGGCAAUUGUUUCCAAUCAACAAAGAGCUAGAUGCGCCGGCGAAGGAGAGCAGGACCGAGAACAGGAAGGCGUGAAACAAAAAUGGGCGCCCUGCAAAUAUGAAACCCGGCACAAAUUUUCCAUCGACGUAUUGAUGAGGAACAAGCAAGAUAAGUAAAGCGAUUGCGAGCGAGGAAUACAAAAUGAAAAAUAAAGACAAAGCGAUUGCGAGCGAGGAAUACAAAAUGAAAAAUAAAGACUGAGUUUGGGAUUCUUGGCUUGAGGUAGUUUUGUCAUAAGAAUUAUCAAGGGCUUUUGACCCCAUCUGCCAAUUUCAAUUACGACGACGACGAGACCUGUGCAGACAACAAUAAACGCGUCAAAUAAUUAUGAUCGGAAGAGGUAAUAACCCGAGACUAAUUAACGGAUUGUUCGGCCCAUGUGGGAUUAGUCAGAGCCGAGAUUAGACCCAGCCGGCAAGGCCCAAUGAAAACGGGCAUCAGCCCCGUGCUGACGUGCUGUGACUGCAGUUAUUUAACUAAUUC